UACGUAGGGGGCAAGCGUUGUCCGGAAUCAUUGGGCGUAAAGAGCGUGUAGGCGGCCCGGUAAGUCCGCUGUGAAAGUCCAGGGCUCAACCCUGGAAUGCCGGUGGAUACUGUCGGGCUCGAGUCCGGAAGAGGUGAGUGGAAUUCCUGGUGUAGCGGUGAAAUGCGCAGAUAUCAGGAGGAACACCAAUGGCGAAGGCAGCUCACUGGUACGGUACUGACGCUGAGACGCGAAAGCGUGGGGAGCAAACAGG
rnacentral:rRNA from 1 species